UACGGAGGGGACUAGCGUUGCUCGGAAUCACUGGGCGUAAAGGGUGCGUAGGCGGGUCUUUUAAGUCAGGGGUGAAAUCCUGGAGCUCAACUCCAGAACUGCCUUUGAUACUGAAGAUCUUGAGUUCGGGAGAGGUGAGUGGAACUGCGAGUGUAGAGGUGAAAUUCGUAGAUAUUCGCAAGAACACCAGUGGCGAAGGCGGCUCACUGGCCCGAUACUGACGCUGAGGCACGAAAGCGUGGGGAGCAAACAGGG
rnacentral:rRNA from 1 species